UACGUAGGGUGCGAGCGUUGUCCGGAAUCAUUGGGCGUAAAGAGCGUGUAGGCGGCCAACUAAGUCCUGCGUGAAAUCUCGGGGCUCAACCCCGAGCGGUCGUGGGAAACUGGUUGGCUAGAGUGCGGGAGAGGAGAGUGGAAUUCCUGGUGUAGCGGUGAAAUGCGCAGAUAUCAGGAAGAACACCCGUGGCGAAGGCGGCUCUCUGGAACGCAACUGACGCUGAGACGCGAAAGCGUGGGGAGCAAACAGG
rnacentral:rRNA from 1 species